rnacentral:rRNA from 1 species
UACGUAGGGCGCAAGCGUUGUCCGGAAUUAUUGGGCGUAAAGAGCUCGUAGGCGGUCUGUUACGUCCGCUGUGAAAACCCAGGGCUUAACCCUGGGCUUGCAGUGGAUACGGGUAGACUAGAGGCAGGUAGGGGAGAAUGGAAUUCCCGGUGUAGCGGUGAAAUGCGCAGAUAUCGGGAGGAACACCGAUGGCGAAGGCAGCUCGCUGGGACGGUACUGACGCUGAGGCGCGAAAGCGUGGGGAGCAAACAGG